CGAACGGGUGAGUAACACGUGAGUAACCUGCCCUUGACUCUGGGAUAAGCCUGGGAAACUGGGUCUAAUACCGGAUACGACCAUCUGGCGCAUGUCAUGGUGGUGGAAAGCUUUUGUGGUUUUGGAUGGACUCGCGGCCUAUCAGCUUGUUGGUGGGGUAAUGGCCUACCAAGGCGACGACGGGUAGCCGGCCUGAGAGGGUGACCGGCCACACUGGGACUGAGACACGGCCCAGACUCCUACGGGAGGCAGCAGUGGGGAAUAUUGCACAAUGGGCGCAAGCCUGAUGCAGCGACGCCGCGUGAGGGAUGACGGCCUUCGGGUUGUAAACCUCUUUCAGUAGGGAAGAAGCGAAAGUGACGGUACCUGCAGAAGAAGCGCCGGCUAACUACGUGCCAGCAGCCGCGGUAAUACGUAGGGCGCAAGCGUUAUCCGGAAUUAUUGGGCGUAAAGAGCUCGUAGGCGCUUUGUCGCGUCUGCUGUGAAUGACCGGAGCUCAACUCCGGUUCUGCAGUGGGUACGGUCAGACUAGAGAGCAGUAGGGGAGACUGGAAUUCCUGGUGUAGCGGUGAAAUGCGCAGAUAUCAGGAGGAACACCGAUGGCGAAGGCAGGUCUCUGGGCUGUAACUGACGCUGAGGAGCGAAAGCAUGGCGAGCGAACAGGAUUAGAUACCCUGGUAGUCCAUGCCGUACACGUUGGGCACUAGGUGUGGGGGACAUUCCACGUUUUCCGCGCCGUAGCUAACGCAUUAAGUGCCCCGCCUGGGGAGUCCGUCCGCAAGGCUAAAACUCAAAGGAAUUGACGGGGGCCCGCCCAAGCGGCGGAGCAUGCGGAUUAAUUCGAUGCAACGCGAAGAACCUUACCAAGGCUUGACAUGAACCGGAAAGACCUGGAAACAGGUGCCCCGCUUGCGGUCGGUUUACAGGUGGUGCAUGGUUGUCGUCAGCUCGUGUCGUGAGAUGUUGGGUUAAGUCCCGCAACGAGCGCAACCCUCGUUCUAUGUUGCCAGCGCGUUAUGGCGGGGACUCAUAGGAGACUGCCGGGGUCAACUCGGAGGAAGGUGGGGACGACGUCAAAUCAUCAUCCCCCUUAUGUCUUGGGCUUCACGCAUGCUACAAUGACCGGUACAAAGGGUUGCGAUACUGUGAGGUGGAGCUAAUCCCAAAAAACCGGUCUCAGUUCGGAUUGGGGUCUGCAACUCGACCCCACGAAGUCGGAGUCGCUAGUAAUCGCAGAUCAGCACCGCUGCGGUGAAUACGUUCCCGGGCCUUGUACACCCCGCCCGUCAAGUCCCGAAAGUUGGUAACACCCG
rnacentral:rRNA from 1 species